rnacentral:rRNA from 1 species
CCGCCCGUCACAUCACGAAAGUGGGCUGUACUAGAAGUCUGCGGCCUGACCCGCAAGGGGAGGAGCGGCCCAAGGUAUGACUCAUGAUUGGGGUG